rnacentral:rRNA from 1 species
CUUGACUCUAUAAGAGGUCCAGCCUGCCCAGUGACCCAGUUCAACGGCCGCGGUAUCCUAACCGUGCAAAGGUAGCGCAAUCACCUGUCUUCUAAAUAAAGACUAGUAUGAAAGGCACCACGAGAACCAAGCUGUCUCCCCUUUCCAAUCAGUGAACCUAAUACCCCCGUGAAGAAGCGGGGAUUUUACAAUAAGACGAGAAGACCCUAUGGAGCUUUAAACAUCAUAAUCACCUGCCCACAAACUAAAAUACCCAGGUUCCCCCACCCAAACUCAUGAUGAUUAUGUGUUUUUGGUUGGGGUGACCGCGGAGAAAAAUUCAUCCCCCGCGAUGAAACCUGCCCAAACAAUAAGCCACAGCUUUAUGUAUCAACAAAUUGACACUAUUGACCCAAUAUAUUGAUUAACGAAC